UACGUAGGGUGCAAGCGUUGCCCGGAUUUAUUGGGCGUAAAGGGCGCGUAGGCGGCUCUGCACGUUCGUUGUGAAAUCGCCCGGCUCAACUGGGCGGGGUCGGCGGAUACGGCGUGGCUGGAGCAAGCUAGGGGGCAAUGGAAUUCCCGGUGUAGUGGUGGAAUGCGUAGAUAUCGGGAGGAACACCAGUGGCGAGGGCGGUUGCCUGGAGCUUUGCUGACGCUGAGGCGCGAAAGCGUGGGGAGCGAUCCGG
rnacentral:rRNA from 1 species